CCUCGCCUACCGACCCCACCGCGGCCCCGGAGUCACAGGCGCGCCUCCCUGUCGCUGCCUCCAGGGACUCUCCCGGGCGAGACCCGCGCGCUCCCGGCCUGGAGGAAAUCGCGGUGGGAACAAACUGACUUAUAAAUGGAGGAGCUUUGGUGCCUACCCCACAGGUGGAUGUGAGGAUUAAAUGAGAUCACCUAUAAGGAAGAUCGCAUCCCUGGACACAAGGAAAGUGAGGAUGGUAUGGUCGAUUGGAAAGUGCCCGCCCCCCUCAAGAUAUGUCGACAGCCUAAUCCCUGGAACCUGUGAAUGAGACCUUGUUUGGAAAAAGGACUUUGCAGAUGUGAUUAAGUUGGAGAUCCUGAGAUGAGGCGCUCAUCCUGGAUUAUCCAGGCAGGCCCUAAACACCAUCACAGGUGUCCUUUACAGGAGGGAUGCAGAUGGAGAUUAGGCAGAUGCACAGAGGAGACGCGAUGCAAAGAUGGAGGGAUGCAGCCACAAGCCAAGGAGCGCAGAGAAGUGCCAGCAGCUACCAGAAGCUAG